CCUUCUAAUCUUCAUUUCUCUAGUUUCAUUGCAAUCCAUUUUCAUCUACAAGGACUAAUUUAGCAUCGUACUCUGUUUCUUUCUUCUUAGAUUGUAGAGAUGUUUUGCCUUCGGCACAUUUGGUCAAGAGGGAUCAUCAUUGCACAAUACAUGUCACGUGGGGGUGGUGGGUCCUAUCCAUACUGGUAGCCCUUGGUUGAAAAUUACAUUGAAAAGGACUAGCCAAUCCAAUAAAAAUGGUGGUCUUUGAGUAGAUGAUUAAAACAAAAGUGGAUUCAAUUGGAGAAACCAAUGUCUAGGAUUGUUUGUUCAUAGUGGUUUAAUAGUGGGCAUCUAUGGAAAGGACCCAACUAGAUGGACAGUAUAGAUCCUCCUCCCCUCAUGCUUGGUAUUGUGUGAUAACUGUGUCUUCCUAAUCCAUCGUGGCAAUAUAUAAACAUGGCUGGGAUUGUAUUCAAACUUUUUAUUGCUAGCACAAAACAUUCAAUUAAUGACUUUUGGUCCUUUGCCAGCAGUUCAACCAAACUGCCUAUAAAUUUGACCAUCUGUUUCAUAAUAAUUGUGUGGAUGCCUUAUCACUUUAUUGGGUACCCAGUAUUCCACUGAGCCCAUAGGCAACUGUAUACAUGUUCGUAUGAUCAGGAGAUACAAGCCAUGUCUGAUCCAAGCUCCACCAAGUGGAUGACCAAGCCCUACAAUCAGACUGAUACAGUCAUCAGCUGAGCCAUACAUGUACAUUGAAAGGGGACCCACAAUUAUUUUAAAGCUGUCCACCAGUGCUGUACAUGUUUGGCCCAUCUGAUGAUUUGGCCUGAUAUUUGUACCAUGCGAUGAUCAACAUGAUCCGGCCUGCCUGAUGCACGGGUCAGAUUUCAGUGUUUAUGCGUGUGUGGAGAGGCAUGUGUGAGGCUUAACAAAGAUUUGGGUACCUAACUGCCUGUAAUAGUGGUACUGAUUAGGGGCUCCUGGUCUGGUCUGUUCUGUGCAGGAACUUGGUGGCCAACAACUUUGUCAUUGAUGAUUCUAACAGCAGUAUUUUGCCUCGAGGGUUGAAUUGUCUUCAGCGAAAUUUCCCAUGUAAUCGGGGUUCUCCGCGCUGUAAGCCAUCUUUGUUCUUCUCCUUAUCCUUUUAUAGAUGGAUAUGUAUGAUCAGAUUGUGAUGACGACCACCUACCUGAGGUACCUUUUUUUUUAGUAUGUUCUUGGUUGGCUGCACCAUGUGAUCAUGAUCUGAAGAAUCAUUGUUCAGCUUGUUAGACUAGCGAUGUUGUUCUUUUGGCUUGUGUACUGUUCUGCCUUUUCUUAUUCUUUUGGUUGCCGUUGUAUGAUUGCUUUUUAGUCCUAAUGUAAAUUCAUGCAUUCUGUCUCAUUGAAAUGGAAAAUUACAAAAAUGUGCUUCUCUGAGGGUGCAUUUGGGUUGCACCAAAUAUCAUGAAAUUUGGUGCAACCAACCAAAUACAACCUUAUAAGCCACAGAUGGUACCAAAAAUGUCGGUGUUGGCUGCCAAUGUUGUUGUAAUUGUACUUUUGUUUUUGCUUUCCAGUAAAGAAUCUUUUAUUCAUCAAAAAAUAAAAUAAAAUAAAGGGAUCGGAAAAUCCGUGCAUAAUGAAACUAGCGGGUAUGGUAGAUGCAACGCACGUGGAGAGAUAGAUAGGAGAGAGAGUUCCAAGAGCAAGGGUGCAGGCCACACACACACACACAAGGGUAACAUCAUCGUCAUUGUCAUCAUCUAAACCUUAUCCCAACUAAUUGGGGUUGGCUACAUGAAUUCUUUUCCGCCAUUCCACUCUAUUAGGGGCCGUAACUUCAGUUAGACCAAUCUAUUUUCACUAACUCCAUCCACGCCCUUUUAGGCCUCCCCCUUGCCCUUUUAGAGCCUUUAACUUGUACCAACUCAUUAUUUC